UUUUAAAGAAAAGAAAAAAGUGUAAAGGAUUUUCUAUUAUAUUUUAGACAAACAUAUCUCUUUUUAAGUAUUUUAAAUACUGAAUCCAUAGUUGUUUUAUUUCGCAUCCCAGCAGUAACAGCUGAACGGUUGAACCUAACUGGCUUCCUAAGAAAUAUUUAAGAUAUAUCUGUAUUCUGAUAUUAAAUUUAAUUUUUUCAAAACUCCUUUCUAGGACCAUGUAUGUGUCUCUCUAAAAAAGAAAAAGAACUCAUUGAAAUGUUUGCUUGGGUUUUAAAUCUUUUUAUGUUUUUCUUAUUUUUUUCUUUAAGUAAACAAAAACUUUUCUUUUUUUACUGCAUGCAUAGCAUUUAAUGAAAUGGAUUUUUUAAAAAUCCACGGGUAAUAUCAGAAUGUCCAGGGAAUGGGCUGUCACUAAAAUUAUGGUUUACUUUACUUCUGUUCCACCUCUUGAUUGAAUAUUUAGUUGUUAAGUUGAAAGCCUCUGUAGUGAAGAACUUGCUUGAGUUUUCUUAAUUCAGCAACUUGACAGUUUGACUGAUGUGCAUUAUAUAGAGCUCAAUUAUGUCUGUUUUUUAUGCUAAGUAGGCAAACCAACCACACACACACGCACACACACACACACACAUUAGCAAACGGCCCUCAAUGUACAAUUAGAAUAAACUGUCUUCUUGUUAUAUUUAGAGCCUUUAGGUAUGUUCAUUAGCAGUGUGGAAAUACAGUAAAAUGGAAGAUGCCAGCUCGUUGUCAGAGUGUCUUGAAACCCUGAACAGAAAGGCUUGUUGGUCAAAUCCACACUCAGCUUAUCAAUAUUAAGUACUUCACUGGAAGGUCCAGCCUUCACCAGACCAUGGAACAAUCAGUCUGCCUGAAAAACCCCUCUGUGCCCUCCAUUUUUUGCCAAUCUGGGAAAACAUCUUUUUUUCUGCCCCAUUCUCCUCUCACACUCAAUUCCUGGGUCAUCCGCCUGUAUCUUCACCGAGCCAGUGUAAUGACCUUCAGAGCACCCAUCCUGAGGAAGGAAAGGCCCUGCAACACCGCCUCUCCUCAUUCGUGUGUGGUUUUUUUUUAUUGGCAGUAUCUGCCUUUGAAGUCACUGCCAGCCUACCUGAAAAUUUCUACAGUGCUUCCCUUGCCUUCUGUGAUGGGACCCGACUUAGGUACCCCGAUGGCAUUUUUACCAGGUGAUCCUAAAUUGAGGCGUUCACUUUGUAUUUCUUCUUAAGACAUUUCCCAACAUAUGAUGCCAGGACAGGUGGAGUAAAUCCUAACUAAGGAUGAACGUACUCAUUUUAAAGUCUGUCUUAAGCUGAUGUUUUCCCUUUACACCCCCAUUCACCCCACCCUACCUCCAUGUUAGUGUGCGCGAGUGCCAGUGUUCACAUGGCCCAUGGGAGAUGGCAGUUUCUGUGGUGUCACUGAAUGAACGCUGGUCAAAGAAAUCAAAUGCAGCACGUGUUCUGAACAGAGGGGUGUCAGUGAUGGAUGUUCAGGGAGUUGGGUCGCUGUUAUGUCAAUUUUAGUGUGUCAGUUGAGUUUGCCAUUAAAAUCUGAAACCAGCUGCGGUGAAAGACCAGCCUUUGGCUGGGGAGUUUUAAGCAUCAGUAACUGCUAUCAAACUAGCCAUCCAGUUAGGAUAGAAUGUGCUUGUUUUUGGUUAAUAAAAACCAUCGAAGAAAAUAUAUUUGUAUGUAUGUGUGUAUACAGUGGAAUUCAAGGACCAAAGCAAAAUUUGAACAGGAAUCUAUUAAUUUAGAAUUUUAUAAGAUAUUUAUUAAUAAAUGUUAUUUUGAAACAUUCCAUUUGAACAGUAUUCUUCUGUAGGAUCUACUUGUUUUUAAAGUAUUAGUUCAUAAUAAACUACUCUAGUUGUGUAUAUCUUCAUUUUUCAGGGUUUCAAAUGGCUAUUCUCCAUCAUAUGGUGGAAGUAUUUUGCUUAGAUCUCUGUGCAUAGAAAUUUCAAGGAUUUUUAUUGCUCUGUGAGUUAUUUUUUAAUCUAUGUUCUGAACGGUUUUUUAAAACAUUCUUUUCUCUUUUUUUCCUUUUUUUUUAAUUCUUAAAGUAAGCUCUUUCCUUUAGGAAGCAGAGUUCAGCUAAAGGGAAUCAGUAACUAUAACUGGAACAGCUUUCUUAUAAAAGUGUAGGAACUUCAUCUCUGCUUCUCUCCACCCCACCCCGAUUUCCUAGAAUGCCUUGCACUAUUCAGCUUCCUUAGUGCUCUCUUUGUCCAGUCCCAAACAAUGUGCCGUAGCUUUAAGCCAUUCAAGUUCCAUUAUGCAGUAUAUCUGAGAAGGAAAAGGAAACAACCCAUUUAAAUUUGAAUAAAACUGUGCCUAUGCGAACAGUAGCAAUUUAGAGUCUCUCUUCUGCUUUUAAAAUAAUUUAUAUUUUAAAAUUGCACUUUAGCUUUUUCAAUCCCUGUUUCUCUGGUUCUUUCUCAAAGACCCUCCCUUUCCUCAGACUUGCCUUCUGCUCUCCUCUUUCCAACUCCCCACCCUUCCCCUCAGGCUCUGAGCUGCAUCAUUCAAAAUACUUUACAGAAUAUUUGCACCAGGUACAUGUGCGUGCGUUCCUUAGUAUCCUAGCAAAGACAUGUUCCUCAUGUCAGCCUAGAUGAAGCCUGCUACGAGAAAACCAAGGAGAAGAGCCAGUUUAUACUCUUUAACCCUUUAUUCAUAGCAUGUUUUUAAAAAAAUGUUAUAUUAUGCAACAGAUGUGAGGCAGCAGCUAAGCUAUACUUAAGAAUUUUCUAUCUCAUCCUCCAAACCAAAGUGUCCUGAAUGAGCCAGGAGACUUACUCUUUUGUGCACCAUGGUGCAUGUGGACUGUGGUCCCAGCCGUCGUCUCUCUGAGGCUGCGGAAGUAGGAGCGGCCCUAUUUCAUUCCUGGGUCUCAAAAAUACAAUGUUGCCUUGUGACAUAAUUAGGGACAGCACCUGUGUUUUACAAUGAUAAUCUGAGAAAGGACAAGAAGACACUGAGCAAUAAACUUACCAGUAAAAUUCAAUACCAAAACAAAGAAAUGAAAACAAAAACAAAAACCCUAACUCAUGAUGUUGUGAAAGUGAAAAAGUGUAUGUCCACUCAAAAUAUUUUACUAUUUCUUGUGGAGUUUUUCAGUGAUGUAAUGCUUAUAGCCAAAUUGCUUAAAGAGUGUUUAUAUAUUUUUUUCCUUAUAAAUUGUCUAUUUUUUAAAAAAAGAAACUAUUUACCACAAGUUGAAGAGGGGGGUAAGGCCAAAUUGCCAGCAUUUGUUAAAUGAUUAAUAUUCUUAAGUGGCACUCUGAUACGUUUCCAAGCUUAUCAUCAGAGGGGAAUCAGUAACGAUCAGCUCUUGUAUUUCGACCAACUUAUAAUAUGUAGCUCAUUAGAAAUCAGGAUUUAGAAAGCUCUUCAUAAGCCAUUUAGAAUUUCCUACCUUGAGUUUCAUAUUAUAGAACUUUCUAGGAUUUUUUGAAAAAGAGAAUUAUUUUAGCCUCAGGACUGAGAAUGUGGAAUCUGAAUAAAUUAGCUUUAACUAUAUUGUUAAAAUCUUAUGCACAAUAAGCUCAUUAGACUCUAGUUGGCUCCUUUAGAAUACCGAUGCCAUUGACAGGAGAUAAUGGAAGGUAUCAGCCUUGCUGCAGUGAAGGGAGCUUCAGAGAAGUGGUCCUUCCCAACCAGCCAGCCAGUGGAAGAGAAGACCUACUCACCCUCUUUCCUUCUACAAUCUGCUAAACACACCUGCCUCAGAGAGAGGAGUUCUGCGUUUUGAGGUUUGGCUUAGAUAAAUGAUAAGCUUGAAAUCUUCUCCCUGGAGAGGACCUGGGGUUUAGGAUCUUCUGAAAAGGCCCAGAAAAAUGGCUCUGUUCAAACACAACGUUCUAGGACAAUUGGAAUAUAAAUAUUAUCCAAAACUAGAACUUUAAAAAAAAAAAAAAAUUUUACCCUUGUGGAAAAUAAGUGCUAACUAAGGAAGUCCCCCCACCUGCCCCCACAAAAAAGGUGCUGUCACUUUAAGUUCUGGACUGGGGGGGUUGUUUGUAAUUGUAAACAGCAAAGCAUUUAUGUUUGUCUGUCUUAUUUGUAAAGCAACCACCUUCCUUACUGGAAGGAGAAAAAAAAAUUGGGAGUACAUACAUGUAAAUACUUGCUACAGCAUUUAAUAUGUUCAAUUUUAUGUUAAGCUUUUUGUUGCAUCGUGAACACAUUUAUUGUUACCAAUGGACAAUGAGUUCAUGAAGACUGUUCAACUAGGUCAGAUUUUACAUCUCUUUUGAGCAAGAGGAGACAAGAUUUUGUGCAUUUGUACAAAUGUUAAUAAUAUCACUGCAAUUCCAAUAUAAUAAAGCACUCAAAUGCAAAUAAUACAUGUAA